ACCCCUUUUAAGUUUUGAUUAAUUUUUCUGACUGACCGCAAAUACUCAAAAUUCAGACCCUGAAGUUUUCUGCCUCAGAGAAAUGUAAAUAGCAUGUAUUGUUUCCCUUUCAUAAUUUUUUCCUUGCAAAGAUACUAGUGAGUUGAAAAGAAACAUUCAGAUGAAAUAAGCGGUUAAAGCUUCAUACUAAAACAAAGGAACUAGCUUAACAUAAUAAAAACUGCUAGGUUCUCAGCAAUACUCAUCAUAAUAUAUAAUAAGAUUGACGCUAAUUAAUUGGAUUUAAUCCCAGGGAAAUUAGAUGUGAGUUUGAAUGGUUAAUUUUCAUAGUACACUAUCAUUUCUGUGGAGUCGUUUUCAUAGUCAAACAUCCUUACAAAUGUGAUCUUCUCU
rnacentral:lncRNA from 1 species